UUGCUGGUUGUUGUCAAAAGCCAACACUCUCUGGUUUUUCAACUAUUUGUAAAUAUCCCUUAGACAUGAUAAAACUAAAUUUAAGAAACUGUAUGGGAAAAGUCCUGGGAGAGCAUGACUACAAAUUAAAACAGUGAUUUCAACUCUUUAUUUUCCCCCGGUUUAAUUUGUACUGGUCCUGGGUCUUUCCAAGACCAUUUAUUACUUUCAUAAAGAAUAAAAUAAAUGAGUGAAUAAAUGCAGGUGAACAAAACCCAUCCCAUUGCUAAUUCUCAAGAAAGUGGAGGACAAGACUGAAAAGAAGAUAGGAACCAAGAUGGAAAAUCCCAGAGACGGGAGCCGCUGGCCAGGUUCCUGGCACACAGCGUUGGAAGAAGCAGCCUUCCCCUGGGAAACCGCCAAGGAGUCAUUCCAGGACAGCAGCUGGGCUUCCGGAGAACCGGUGCCCGCUGACUACUGUAAGGUUAGGCCCCUGCGGCCCCUCCUACACACACAAUAACAAUAAUAAGUAUAAACACACAAAACAGCGAAGCCUGGGGUAAGAUUCCUGCUCUGACUCACAGGCUGCCUUUCAUGCUUACGACAUAAUCUCUCAAAAACAUCUCCUGUUUGGUAACUUCAGUUUUCUGAACAUCUCCCCUUUAGAUGAGAAGCAAGAGGUGAAAGAAGGGCAAAGUGAGUAAGAAGAAAGAAAGACUUGAGUGCUAUUCUAAAGAGAACAUUCUAGAUGUGUCCAGGGGAAGAAGCAAAAUAUGGGCUCUCUGCCCAAAUUCUCUCACUGAAUUUCAAAAAGAAUUUGUAUCCCCUUUUGAUCCCCAUAGAAGGCAUCAAAAGGUGAGAGAAGUCAAAGAAUCUUUCCAGGUUCACCAAAGUCAGAAUUAUUAUUAUUAUUAUUUUGAGAUGGAGCCUGGUCUGUCACCCAAGCUGGUGUACAGUGGCACAAUCUCGGCUCACUGCAACCUCCACCUCCGGGGUUCAAACAAUACUCCUGUUUCAGCCUCCUGAGUAGCUGGGAUUACAGGUGUGUGCCACCAUGACCCACCCAAAGUCAGAAUUUGAACCCAGUACUCUCCCCUUUUUCCUUUCUUCUCUCCAUCCUUCCUUUUCCUUCUUUAAUUUUUAUUUUUUUAUUUAUUUUGCCUUCAAAAAUAUUUAUAUAGCUCCCAAGCACAACACUAAACACUGGCCUGGGACUUCAUGAAACUUACCUCCAGGGGGAGGGAUGGAAAGUAAAAUAAACAAAUAAAUGAGCAAAUAGUUGCAAAUGCUUGUCAGGGCUGUGAAGCAAAUAAAACAGGGUCAUGUGAAAUACCGAAACUGAGCAGGCAUGACAUGGAAUACUUCAGGAUAAGUGGUCAAGGAAUGUUCUCGAGGAAGCAGUAUUUGAGCUGAACCCUGAGUGAAGAGCUGUGGAAAGACCAGAAACAGUGUUUCAGGUGCAGAGAAUAGUAACUGCAAAGACUGAGGCGAAACUAAAAAAGUCAUCGAAACCCACACUGAGCCCUGCUGGCGGGGAACUGAUGACUCCUCGUUGGUACGGUCGUCUGCCCUGUCCAACGUGGGGUUCUUGAGAAGCUGAUUCUGAAAUUGAGAUUAGGGUACAGGAAGAUUCUUGUGGGGGUGCUCUUGUGAGGAGUGAAGGCAGCGAGGCUAGGCAGAGGGAGGGAGGCACUGAACUGUGCUGCAGUCUCACAGCACUGGCACAAGGACCCUGACCUUGGCAUCACCGACUGCAUAGGGUUGAGAAUUUGACCAUCUCUGGGGUGCCACAACUCUUAUAAAUUCAAUCUCGGGUCUGAUACUCAGCCUUUUCCGCCCUCCAGUUGUGAGAGAUGAUGGCCUCUUUAUAUGCUACCAACGAGGUCCUAUGGCUGUCACACUUUACCUUCGUGAUUAAUCACUCUCAGCCUUCCACUGCCUUUCUCAAAUGCAUUGAUGGUUCUCAGCAACAGCCAUCUCACUCCAUUGUUCGCCCCUCCUCACCAGCCUUUCAAACUCCUGAAGUCUUGCACCUCCUGUCCAUUCCUUUCCAUAGCUGUUCCACCCAAGUGUAUCAUGGAAGUUUUACCAAUUGCAAAGCAUGCCUGGGGGAAUCAGUGCUCCACUGCCACAAGGGAUGGGGUCCUCGUGGUCAACUGGCUGAUGAGUGAUCAAACUUCAAAAUCCCAUACACAGUCUGCUUCCUCAAACCCUUCCUGGCACCAACAUCUCUGAGCCGGAGAUGCACGUGCGGUCUAAGCACCAGCGUGGUGGCCACCCCAGCAGCCUUGGACCCCUGAAGGCUUGAGCACCAAAGCACACACAGCUGCCUCUGGCUGAGUUCUGUGGUCGCCUGCACCCCCUCCACCUGCUUCCCCCGGAGGUAGGUCCUUCCACUGCCAGGGGCCGCCUCCUCUGAGGAUGGAUCAUGAAGAGUGGAAUUGCUUUUCCUCUUGGGGCAGGCACACCAACAGUGUAUGUGAGGCCCCUGCUCCCACUCCCCAGGCUGGCCAGUACUUUGGGCCAAUCUGCUAGACCCAAAAAUGUUAAUCUCACUGAGAUUUAAUUUGCAUUCCCCUGACUACCGGUGAAGUUGAGCAUCUUUUCAUAUGUUUAUUGACAAUUUGCAUUUCUUAUUCAGUAAAUUACCUGCUCGUAUCCUAGAGUCAUAUUUCUGUCUGCCCGUUUUUUUCUAUUCAAUUUGUGGGAGCUCUUUGUAUACCUGGGAUCUAAUCUUUGACUCAUAUAUAUGGCAAGUAUUUUCUAUUACUGUUGUCAACUUUUUAUCAUAGUAAAAUUCUUACAUCCAGCACCCCCACCCCUCCCCUGCCCUUUUUUUUUUUUUUUUUGCAUUUGGGUUAGGCAGAGAGCUAGCUUUACUGUUUUCCAAAUGAAGUCAAUCGAUCCCAAGGAUUUUUAAAUUAUUUAAUCAGUAAAAAUGUACACAUUUUGAG
rnacentral:lncRNA from 1 species